UACGUAGGGGGCAAGCGUUGUCCGGAUUUAUUGGGCGUAAAAGGCUUGUAGGUGGCCACGCCAAGUCGGAUGUGAAAUCUCCCGGCUCAACUGGGAGGGUCAUUCGAUACUGGCGGGCUCGAGGCCGGUAGGGGGAAGUGGAAUUCCCGGUGUAGUGGUGGAAUGCGUAGAUAUCGGGAGGAACACCAGUGGCGAAGGCGGCUUCCUGGACCGGUUCUGACACUGAGGAGCGAAAGCGUGGGGAGCGAUCGG
rnacentral:rRNA from 1 species